rnacentral:lncRNA from 1 species
CAUUUGGUGAGAAUUCACAACAUGCCAAGCAUUGGCAGAACUGCUGUACGUAUAUUACUUAAAUAAAUACUUCAAAUAAUCAUGUAAGAGACAUACCCUCAUUAUCUCCAUUUUACUCCUAGUACAUUGUGCCCACAGUCUCAUAAUUGAGCUAGACUUUGAAAUCAAAUCUAUGUUCCUAACCUUUAUGCUUGCUACAUGAAGCAGCCAAAUGAGUCUGUAGUCUCCUGAGUCUCCAGGUGAUUUCUUCAUAGGUUCAAGUGCAACAGAAAGAGAGAGGUCUUCUUAACACACCUAUAUUUCCCGAUUGUUCCCACAAAAAUCCCAAUUAUGCAUUCUUUUGGAUUAAUUAGGUCCUUUCUUAAAUAAACCAUUGGGGGUCAAAUUAUAGUGUUAGACCUGCUCCAGUGGUAAGCUGAAUCUCUACCCACACCCUGUAUCAAUGAGACUGAAUAAGGUAGCAUGUAUUGGAGCUAGUUAGCACCCCAUUUCCACUUUUCCCAAUUCCUAGUGCCAAUAAGGCUCAGUAGAGAGCUGAACCCCCACAACCACCUGCAGCAAGAAGACUGAAUGAGGCAGUGUGAGGCAGGGCCAGUCAGCACUCUGGUUUCUGCUCCUCUCUUCUGGGUCUUCACCCCCAAUUGUCAUCAUUAUGAUGGAAUGGGAAGGUAGAAGAUGGAACUAAUUGGCAUUCCACUCCUCACUGCUCCCCAGCAGGGACCAACAAGAAGCAGAGCUUCCAUUCUUACACUGCAGCAACAAAGUGCCACUUCAGCCAUCUGUCUCCUUCCUCCCCUCUGUGUCAGUGGGGCCCAACAGGGAUCUGAGCUUAGACUUCAAUUUAAAAGCAAUCACAACCAGCUGGCCCUGGGCUCUGCUUUGGCCAGUAACUUUCCCUUCUCAGCCAGAGCAACAUUUUUCAGGUGCUCUUCAAGCAGUGAUAUGAGAUUGAGGAGGGAAUCCAUCACAUCAUGUAGGAGUCAUUGUUUCUCUAAGGCCACUGACUUACCUUCCAAGAAUGAUAGCAUUACAUCACUGAGUAACUGUGAGGAUUAA